rnacentral:rRNA from 1 species
GAUAGACGUGGGCGAAGCCUGUCCGCAAUGCCGCGUGCAGGAAGAAGGCCUUCGGGUUGUAAACUGCUUUUGUACGGAACGAAACGGUCCUUUCUAAUAAAGAGGGCUAAUGACGGUACCGUAAGAAUAAGCACCGGCUAGGGUGGGUGGGCAGCAGCCGCGGUAAUACGUAGGGUGCGAGCGUUAAUCGGAAUUACUGGGCGUAAAGCGUGCGCAGGCGGUUCUAUAAGACAGAUGUGAAAUCCCCGGGCUCAACCUGGGAAUGGCAUUUGUGACUGUAGAGCUAGAGUACGGUAGAGGGGGAUGGAAUUCCGCGUGUAGCAGUGAAAGGCGGGAGAUAUGCGGAGGAACACCGAUGGCGAAGGCAAUCCCCUGGACCUGUACUGACGCUCAUGCACGAAAG